GAUGAACGCUGGCGGCGUGCCUAAUACAUGCAAGUAGAACGCUGAAGGAGGAGCUUGCUCUUCUGGAUGAGUUGCGAACGGGUGAGUAACGCGUAGGUAACCUGCCUGGUAGCGGGGGAUAACUAUUGGAAACGAUAGCUAAUACCGCAUGACAACAGUUAUUGCAUGAUAACUGUUUAAAAGGGGCAACUGCUCCACUACCAGAUGGACCUGCGUUGUAUUAGCUAGUUGGUGAGGUAACGGCUCACCAAGGCGACGAUACAUAGCCGACCUGAGAGGGUGAUCGGCCACACUGGGACUGAGACACGGCCCAGACUCCUACGGGAGGCAGCAGUAGGGAAUCUUCGGCAAUGGACGGAAGUCUGACCGAGCAACGCCGCGUGAGUGAAGAAGGUUUUCGGAUCGUAAAGCUCUGUUGUAAGAGAAGAACGAGUGUGAGAGUGGAAAGUUCACACUGUGACGGUAUCUUACCAGAAAGGGACGGCUAACUACG
rnacentral:rRNA from 1 species